rnacentral:rRNA from 1 species
CCUACGGGUGGCAGCAGUGGGGAAUAUUGCACAAUGGGGGAAACCCUGAUGCAGCGACGCCGCGUGAGUGAAGAAGUAUCUCGGUACGUAAAGCUCUAUCAGCAGGGAAGAAAAUGAAGGUACCUGACUAAGUAGCCCCGGCUAACUACGUGCCAGCAGCCGCGGUAAUACGUCGGGAGCAAGCGUUAUACGGAUUUACUGGGUGUAAAGGGAGCGUAGACGGCAGUACAAGUCUGGAGUGAAAUCCCGGGGCUUAACCCCGGAAAUGCUUUGGAAACUGGGCGGCUGGAGUGCAGGAGGGGUAAGCGGAAUUCGUAGUGUAGCGGUGAAAUGCGUAGAUAUUAGGAGGAACACCGGUGGCGAAGGCGGCUUACUGGACUGUAACUGACGUUGAGGCUCGAAAGCGUGGGGAGCAAACAGGAUUAGAUACCCCAGUAGUC